AAGUCGUAACAAGGUUUCCGUAGGUGAACCUGCGGAAGGAUCAUUACCACCUAUUCAUCCGGGGCUGAGCAAUCAGCACCGGUGAAUUAUCAACCAACCGUGAACUAUAACUGACACAGCAUUCAGUGGAGUGUUGCAUGGGAGCCAAUAUGUGGUUCUAAUGGUGCGCAAGCAUCAUUGGUCAGCUCUUGGCAACAGAAACCUUUCACGAGGUUUCAGCUUCACUGUCUUCUGUUCCGACCAUCGUCGGUCUGCCUCUAUGGCUGACGUUGGCCGUUUCAUUCACCCCAUCUAUUGUAUACUUUGUAUAUCUGAUCUUAACCACUUUGACAUUGUCGAUUUGGUGUAUUCUUAACAAAAUACAACUCUUAGCAAUGGAUAUCUUGGUUCCCUUACCGAUGAAGAACGCAGC
rnacentral:misc_RNA from 1 species